GGGCAGGUAGCUUAGACGGUAGAGCACCGGUUUGAAGCGCCGGUUGCGCCGGUUCGACUCCGGCCCUGCCCG
rnacentral:tRNA from 1 species